rnacentral:snRNA from 1 species
AGCUUUGCGCAGUGGCAGUAUCGUAGCCCAUAAGGUCAAUCCGAGGCGUGAUUAUUGCUAAUUGAAAACUUUACCCAAUACCCCGCCAUGAUGACUUGAAAUACAGUCAGCAUUGGCAAUUUUUGACAGGCUCUGAGGAGA